rnacentral:rRNA from 1 species
UACGGAGGGUGCAAGCGUUAUCCGGAUUCACUGGGUUUAAAGGGUGCGUAGGUGGGCUGAUAAGUCAGCGGUGAAAUCCCCGAGCUUAACUUGGGAACUGCCAUUGAUACUAUCGGUCUUGAAUCUCGCGUAGGUAAGCGGAAUAUGUCAUGUAGCGGUGAAAUGCUUAGAUAUGACAUAGAACACCAAUUGCGAAGGCAGCUUACUUCACGAGUAUUGACACUGAGGCACGAAAGCGUGGGGAGCAAACAGG